UAACAUUAGUGUUCAACGAUUUAACGUGUCCGAAUGUUCAAAAUCUUAAUACGUCGACGUGUUCAACAGCCAUGUAACACUUUUUGAACACACAGAACAUGUUCAAAAAACAAAAUGUUAAGAUUAAGAACACCAGACGUUAACAUUCAGAACAGUUGACAUAGGUGUUCAAAGUUAUGGUGUUCAAAUGUGGAACAUGUUCUAUUUCAAGCGUACAUAAUUUUCCAUAAGCACUAAACUCAAUUAAACUGUUACAAAAACUGUAUUGAAUCAGGCA
rnacentral:lncRNA from 1 species